UACGUAGGGGGCAGGCGUUGUCCGGAUUUAUUGGGCGUAAAGAGCGUGUAGGCGGUUUGGUAGGUCCGCUGUGAAAACUCGAGGCUCAACCUCGAGACGCCGGUGGAAACCAUCAGGCUAGAGUCCGGAAGAGGAGAGUGGAAUUCCUGGUGUAGCGGUGAAAUGCGCAGAUAUCAGGAAGAACACCCGUGGCUAAGGCGGCUCUCUAGUACGGUACUGACGCUGAGACGCGAAAGCGUGGGGAGCGAACAGG
rnacentral:rRNA from 1 species